rnacentral:rRNA from 1 species
GGAGUAAUGCCUUAUAAGAUACGUUUGUCGCAUGGCAUUUGUAUUAAACGCUCCGGCGCCAUAGGAUGGACCCGCGUCCCAUUAGCUAGUUGGUGAGAUAACAGCUCACCAAGGCCACGAUGGGUAACCGGUCUGAGAGGGCGAACGGUCACACUGGAACUGAGACACGGUCCAGACUCCUACGGGAGGCAGCAGUGGGGAAUAUUGCGCAAUGGGGGCAACCCUGACGCAGCAAUACCGCGUGAGUGAAGAAGGUUUUCGGAUCGUAAAGCUCUGUUAUUGGGGAAGAAAAAAAGACGGUACCCAAGAAGAAAGUUCCGGCUAACUACGUGCCAGCAGCCGCGGUAAUACGUAGGGAACAAGCGUUGUCCGGAUUUACUGGGCGUAAAGGGCACGCAGGCGGUUUUUAAGUCAGAUGUGAAAGGCCACAGCUCAACUGUGGACAUGCAUUUGAAACUGAAAGACUUGAGUAUUGGAGAGGCAAGUGGAAUUCCUAGUGUAGCGGUGAAAUGCGUAGAUAUUAGGAGGAACACUGGAGGCGAAGGCGGCUUGCUGGACAAAUACUGACG